GGCUCAUUGGAGUAGACGGUUAUCUCGUCUGAUUCUCAAUCAGAAGAUCGCGGGUUCGAGUCCCGCAUGAGCUACC
rnacentral:tRNA from 1 species